rnacentral:rRNA from 1 species
UACGUAGGGUGCGAGCGUUGUCCGGAAUUAUUGGGCGUAAAGAGCUCGUAGGCGGUGUGUCACGUCGGCCGUGAAAACCUGCAGCUUAACUCUGGGCGUGCGGUCGAUACGGGCAUCACUUGAGUUCGGCAGGGGAGACUGGAAUUCCUGGUGUAGCGGUGAAAUGCGUAGAUAUCUGGAGGAACACCGGUGGCGAAGGCGGCAUCCUGGACCGACACUGACGCUGAGGAGCGAAAGCCAGGGGAGCAAACGGG